AGAGUUUGAUCCUGGCUCAGGAUGAACGCUGGCGGCGUGCCUAACACAUGCAAGUCGAGCGAGAAUUCUUUAACUGAUUCUUCGGAUGAUUUUAAAGAAGGAAAGCGGCGGACGGGUGAGUAACGCGUAGGCAACCUGCCUCUCACAGAGGGAUAGCCAUUGGAAACGAUGAUUAAAACCUCAUAACGCCACUCCGGGACAUCCCGGAAUGGCCAAAGAUUUAUCGGUGAGAGAUGGGCCUGCGUCUGAUUAGCUAGUUGGUGAGGUAACGGCUCACCAAGGCGACGAUCAGUAGCCGACCUGAGAGGGUGAUCGGCCACAUUGGAACUGAGACACGGUCCAAACUCCUACGGGAGGCAGCAGUGGGGAAUAUUGCACAAUGGGCGAAAGCCUGAUGCAGCAACGCCGCGUGAAGGAUGAAGGCCUUCGGGUCGUAAACUUCUGUCCUUGGGGAAGAAGAACUGACGGUACCCUUGGAGGAAGCCCCGGCUAACUACGUGCCCAGCAGCCGCGGU
rnacentral:rRNA from 1 species